AACUUUGUGUGCUAUUGCAGUUUUGCAAUAGCUAUUGCUAUUUUCUUUGUUUUACACUGAACAGGGUGCGAGGAAAGAAGGAUUUCUUUUCUUUAAAAAAAAUAACAGCAAAUACAGCUCUUCCUUCCCGUGCAAGUCCCUGCGUGCAAUUUAUAUGCACAAGAAGGAAGGAAACGGAGGCAGAACUUAAAGACUCAGAUGCAACAAGAGAAGACAGGGUGUUUUAUUUAACUGCGCUGGGUCUCUACCCUGCCCCAGCCCUUCUGUUCAUCAAGCAAUUGCUAUAUGUGACACGCUUCAGCCGCCCUGCUUUAAAUCACAAGCACUCUUACUACGAAUUGACUAGCAAGAGGAUGUCGGUUGCUGCUUUCCUCUGGUGACCACAUCACAGGUGCACCUGCAGCGAAAAGCAGGGAGGUUUGCUUCUGUGAAACACUCUGUAAACAGCUAUUAGCCAGAGCCAGAAAGAGCCUUGACUCUGCCUGCCUGCCUGCCUCCCUGCCUGCCUCCUUAGCACAGUUAGAUGAGGGCGAUAAGCGUCCUCUGCCGCGCAUUGCUGGGCGUUGAUUCCAGUUAAACUGCAGGAGCUGCAUACAUAUUGCUGCUUGUAAAUUAGAGGACCACCUUGCUGGAUCGGACUGAAAGCGAAUGUCGGUCCUAGCUUUCUCUUUUCCACAGGACCUGCCGGAUAGCCGAGAUUUAUUUUGCCGCUUCCUAAGAGGAGUGCAUGCCUUUGUCGGCUCUGCUGUGUAAUCAUGCUGGCAUCCAUGUGGAUUUGGCAGGCUCCUCAUCUGUGGAAUCCGCCCAAGCUAAACUUGCGUUAUACUGGUUUGCAAGCACCUCCACGCUCCCUGAAGCAGGCUGAGGAACGUCUGGCACUUCUGAGGUGCCCGGGGGGCUGCACCCUCUUCCCCCAGCCACACACACACCCCUCUCCCUGAUGGCCAACCUUCUGAUGAUUUUCCACUUUUUGAAUGUUUCCCUCAUUCUUGGAAAGCCUCUCCCAAGGCAUGCGUUACUUACAACCAUGAAAAGGACUUUCAGUUGAAACACAUCGUCAUUUUGGCCUCAUCCACCGUUUGGAUGUAGGUCCUGAGUCCGUCUCUGAAAAUGGGCCUGGCCUUGGGCUGAAAGGGGUCCCCCACCUCUGCCCCAAGGAGAAGUGCCAGCCCCAUGCUCAGCACCCUUUUGGUUAAGCCACCCUUUUGAAAAGCUGCUGCUUCAGGCUUUCGCAUGCCAUGCAUUGGAUGGCUUCCUGUGACACAGAGGUGCCUAGUCCUUUCCCAGGAGCUUCCAAGGACCUCGUGCUCUGCCAGGCUGCUGCAGGCAGGGUCAGGGGUGGGGGCGCAGCAGUGGCAAUUUGGGUCUCCCCAUCCUAUGUUUAUUUUUCCCUCUGGACCUGGGAGUUCAAGGCUGGAGUCCUCUUAGAUGGCAGGGAUCCUGGCCUCUCCCUCCCUUUCCCACCAUUGGAAUGUCCUCUUUUUGACUUUGGGAAGCAAGUUCGUUCUGCGGUGGCAGGAAGGGGAGAUGAGAAGAUAGAAUCCCUGUCUAAAGUUGUAAGGGCAUCCAUGGUCAGGAGCACAACUUCAACAUAUCCUUUGCCCUUGGGAUGCUCUGGCAGGUAUUAUUGAUUAGACUUCUAAGCCUUCAGAUAACACAAACUAUCUGCAGGUUCUAUAAUGCAUUAAAAACACAAACUGGUGAAUUAAAAUAAGAAAAUGGCAAAAUAAGAUCAGCAACAAGUGAAACAAAAAAUGUAGAUAAAGCAAACAGUAAUUGAAAGUGCAGUGACUGAAAAGCACUAAGAGCUAUUCUCAGAAUGCUUAGGAGAAAGAAAGAUGAUCAUUUAGGGGCCAGGCAAGCCUGCCUGGGGGGCACAGUUCAUAGAGGGGUCCUAAAAGGUCCCUCCUUGUCUCACGGAAGGGGCUGCCUGGAAAAGGGCUUCAGGGAAUUGCUUUAGAGUCCUGGUAGAUAAAUAGAACUGUAUGGGAUCAUUUUAGGGCUGUUUCCCACCAGCUUUCCAUCUUCCCACAUGUGACAUUUUGAUUGGCAUAAUCAAGGUAUUGCCCCAUUGUGGAGUUUGGAAUGAAAUAUGUGUGUGUGUAAAAAAUUCUUGCAAAAAUAUAGUCAUAAGCUGCAGUGACUAAAUACAGGGUGGUGCAGGGAAACAAGAAAUUUUAAAUUGACAUUCAAUGCAUGGAUAAACACAUUAAAAAUAGAUUUUAUGGUGAAAUGUACAGGAUAUGCAAUGAAUGCUGGUAAUCCAUAUUCAUUCAACAUUCAUUUUAUGUCUUGAAGAUAACAUCAUGAAGGUGUUGUCCAUUUCUCCCUACGCAUUCUGACAGCCUAUUGUGGAAAUUCUGUACUGCUUGACGUAACACGUCAGGGGGAAUGCCAGCAAUUCCCUCUUCAGUCCUUCUUUUUAGUUCAGCCAUGCUUGGAAGACGUGUGUGGUACACUUUUCAGAUGUCCCCACACAAAAAAAUCACAGACAGCGAAACCUGGGGAUCUUGGAGGCCAUGGAACGUCACCGUCACAUGAAAUAAUCGUCAAAGAGCUGCCAUCGAUUGUCGGGAAGUAUGCAACGUGGCUCCAUCUUGUUGCAACUGUUGAAGCUGCAGGUCUGACUUGCAGGGAUGCGGGCUUUAUCGCCCCAAAUGUAGUGAUGAGGCGUGUUGUCAAACGGAGCGGCGAGGGCUCCUCACGAUGGCAGCUCGAACAGCCUCAAUCUUCUCUGGUGUGCAGGCCAUUCGAACACCUCCUGGGGACUCCUUUUUUAAGGCUGAACCCAUUUCUUUGAGAUCACACACCCACGUUGCAAUUGUUUGAGCAGAUGGGACACGAUCACGAUGUCCUAACUGGCAAUGAUGCCAAAAUUUCCUUUGUGCAGCAGUCACACGAUCACGAUCCCUGUAAAAGGCUCUUAAAGCGAAUGCUUGUUGUGCAUCACUCCAUUGCUCCAUUCUAGCUAAUGGCGAGGGGUUCUAAAUGAGGUUGUGGUGGUUCCACACAAUUGCUGAUGCCCCAGGGUUGCCAACUCCUAGUUCCAAAAUUUCCCUGCGCCACCCUGUGCAAAAGGCCAAACCAUUGAUAGCCUUUUAACCACAGUAAAAGAUGAAAAAGAGCUAGGAUAACAUCAAGUUUAACAUCAUUAUAGCCUGCACAUUGAGAUCCAUUUUAACCUGGUACCAAAAUUCCUAAGGGUAACUGGCAGGUGACAACCUAUAGUUUAUUUUCAGGGAUGUUCUAAAUUCAAUUAACUGAGUGUACCCAAGACGUUACAUGCUCCUAAGCAAGCUCCUUCUUUGGUCUCCUGAUGCUUGUUUUGAAUUGGACCAGUUGUACUUCUCCAGGUUAUAUAUAGCCCAAACCAGAAUCUACACAGAUGUGCUUGGGGAGGAAGAGAAUUUGAAGCAAAGUAAAUCAAUAAGCAACACAGAUGACACCUGGGAGCUGUGAACUGGGCGAUCUCUGGAAUGAGGCAGCUGUUAGCCUAGGAGAGGAACCUUGUCUCUCUCAAUGAAAUGUGACAGCUAACGGGAUUUGGGACCUGCCAACAGCUGGCACAGCCCAAAACCGACCAGGCGUCUUGGAUCAGGGAAAAGCUAGUCAAAUACCCUCCCCUGCUUUGUCUUGUCAGCUAGCGGAAGUCCUGAGCGGUGGAAGAGUCUUGGAUUGCUGGGCUUGGCACAAUCAAGGACUAGUACAAGGAAGGCAGCUGCCCUGCUGGAGUGCUGCCAACAUGCGUGAACAGCCGGGGAAGGAGUGAGAGGUCCGCUCCAUAUAAGCCACCACAAACACAUUGGAGAAAUGAUGGGCUAGAAAAGUCUUGUGUUAAUCCAACAAAUAAAUACAUAGACUGUAACAAUCAUUCGUUACUGAGCGUAUGCUACAAAGAAAGUGCAGAGAGGUGCCAGCAGAGGGCAUCCCGUCCUCAUUAACAAACGGAAGAAACUCCAAUUAAGACAAUGGAACUGACAAAUGGAUAUGGGAAAAAUCAACCAGCCUCUGUGAAGUUGCCCUACCUGGCAUCCCAAUCGCGUUUUCUUAUUUGCCAAAGAAUGGGAGCAACCAGAAGCGGCAAUCUGCAAGCUCUGAGAAAGCAGCACUCAUUCCAAGAAGAGCACCACAAGCAAUUUGCUUACAGCUGAAUCAUGCAUCACUCCUGUUGGCGCCACCUUAAAACAUAAUUGCCUUGAUGAAAAUGUCUCCCACAGGUUGCUUCCCUCCCCCUUUUAGCCAUGCACUAUUUGAUCGAAAAGAAAUUGCUUCAACACUCAAGAAACUGUUCGAGAAAUUCUCAUGGGCGGGGUUCAGGGUUCUUGUGCUUCUUUGGUUUAUGAAGUGGCCAAGGCUCUUGGGUGGGAGUCCUUUCUUUCCUUGCAUGGUCAUCGCUCUGUCAGCCGGCUAUGGGCCAAGCCCCCCCCACCCCCAGCUCCUCACAUUUCAGUUCGAGCCCAGGAGACAUCGUGGGACAUUCUGAGAUCCAGAAAUGCAGGCAGGCAGAGUGGUGGAGAGUAUGUUUGUGGCAGUGCAAAUAACGACCCCCUAGGAGGAGUUGUGCUGCAACUCUGAGGUCUGCCCUACAUGAGGGGCUUAGCCUGCCGCUUUACCAAGCCUCCUCCUCCCGUUGUCGUCGUGGAAGGAAAAGUGUGUCCUUUGCACAUUUUUCCCUAGAGGUUUCUCUUUCUAUGUAUGGUACAAACAACCACAGAUUGAUGCUGUGGUACAGGUACACUAUAAUAGACCUUGGGCUUCUCAUGAGGUUUUUGUUUCAGUGUGUUGCGGUUUAAAAUGUAAUGCCAGUGUUUCCUUGUGUUAAAAGGUCUGCUCAAAAGGAACACACGGGAAAAGCUCUGGAGGGCAAAAGCAUUUUGGAAAUGUCCCACAAACUUCCAGGAGCACAGGAAAUGUGCUGAGAAUUUCUUCUCCCCGAGAUGCACUGAAAUGCCCCCCCCCCCAAUGUUUCCGCCUGCAAAUAAGAUGGAGAAUGUGGGGAGACAUUUGCACACUGCUAUACUUGAGCAGGCAUUGACUCUGGUGUGAGCAAAAGUCCUUUGUCAGAAGGGCACGUGCAGCUAGGUGGUCCUCAAACUCAUGGGGGGCAGGCAGGAAAAGAUGCUUGUGCCAGUCCCUUGUCUGAAGUGUGCAUGGAGAGGGAGAGGAGCUUGGCUGUGACUUGUGGAUAUUAAUCCCCUGGUGCCCCCCUCCCCCCACAAUCUCAGAACUGCCAUCAUCUAUGAUCGUUAUACAUUCUUGUAUGCUUUAAAAAUAGUUCACACACUUAAACCAGUAGUAUUGAAUUGACUCUUUUGUUUGUCAGAAAGUCUGCAGCAGGUUUCUUGUUUCCCCAGUGGGGUGGUGCUGAUAUGUUUUGCACAUCACCCUUGGAAACAAUGGAAAAGUAACAGGGGAAAGAGAAUGAGAGACAGAGAGCCACUGUACUGUGGUGACCAUCAGCCCCUGCACAGGAAGAGUGCUCAUCAUAAGUGGAGCAGCAGGAAUGGCAGCAGUCACCGCCACCUCCCCAUCCUCCAACUCUACUGUUGCUAGAUGGACUAC